rnacentral:lncRNA from 1 species
AUUUGCUGCUCUGCUGGACCCUGAGUCUGGCGGCGGGCGGCCUCCUCUCCGCUCCCCGCCCGCCAUCCCCCAACUCCCGAUCUCUCUGCUGCGUCUGGCCUCAGGCUGAGACCCCAACGAAUCAUUCCCCGCAUGGGAACAUUUUAUGAUAUAACUGAAUUCAGUUUUAUGUAUAACUGAAUUACGGAUAUGAGAAUCUCAAAUGAGGACGAAUGGUUUUUACGCACAAAACAUGAGACACAAAUCUGUAAGAAAUAUAAAGUCGUGACCACGUCCUUUCAGAACUUUAACCUGUUUGCUGAAGUACGUCAGUAACAAUGGCAGGGAAAGGGUAUCUUAAAUUUCACCACAGCCUCAAAGAGGCCAUUUCGUGGAUCCGCUGAGGCUUGGAGUCGGCCUUCUGACCACGAGUCCUGCGGCUAUGAAAGAGGAAGCCGCGGUUCAGGGCGUCCUCGCGAGUCGUGCAGCCCGCCCUGCUCCAGCUGGGGACACCGGUGGUCACGGCGCUUUCCAGCUGCAGAUCCAGGCGGCAGCCCAAGAUUUGGUCCAGCCGCCAAGGGGUGGCUCGAGUGACUGACGGGCCUUGAACGCUCCCAGGACCCACAUCUGGAGAGGGAGGUGGGGGUGGGGUGCUGAAGUCAUUCUUGGGGCCCCUGGGGGCGGGCAUGGACCUGGGUAAGGCCAGAGAAAUUGACACCUCGUGACAUCCCUGGAAGAGAAGUACGUUCAGUGUCACUCCAGAGCUGAAACCGCCUUCUGGCUGGUCCCUCCUCACCUACAUACUUUUCUAAUUUGUCUGGAGCAGGCCGGGCAUCUGUAUUAUCUGGUUAUUUAAAUAUCUGGUUAUUUAAAAGCUCUCCAUUAAAUUCACAUACACGAAAAUAAAAAUUAAAAAAAAUUUUAAAAAAAAGAAACAAAAGCUCUCUAAUGACCAAGUCCUACACGAUAGUGAAUAAAUUUUUUUAAAGGUGAAAACGUUUCUUUUAUAAUUUCACAUACAAUCUUUAAUGGACCCAGUGUCCAACACAUUAAAGCAAGUGCUCAGGAGUGACAUCAAGAUGUAAAAAAUAGUCCUGUCCUCAGGGAGUUUAGGUCUUGGAGAAAAGAGACCCAAGGAGACACAAGACAAAGGGGAAAGAGAAGGAGCGCUGAAGACUGAGGACCCUGCCUGUGGACUGAAGUGAGGAUGGGGACACCCGAUGCCCGGAAUAUGACAGUUUGGAGGGGCCUGAAGGACUCUUCUAUUCUCUAUCAGAAAAACAGAAUUACUCUCCUAACCAGAAAAGGUAUUUCAAUUUAUAUUUUCCAUCACAGCACUUUUCUGGUGAUAAUUUAAUGUGUUUUAAAAAAUGUAUCACAGUGAUGGCCUGGUGUGAAAUAAAUAAUAAAAUUUUAAGAAUUAAAAAAUAUAAAAAUCUUUUAUAUAGACAUUAGGAGUUACAAGGAUAACUGUGAAUUAUAAUUAGUAAUUAAAUUGAAAUACUGAUUAUUUUCAUUUUUAUUUAAUUAUUUAAUAAAACCUAUUUAACAUUUAAUAUUUAUCAGUAAUUAAAUCUAAUUGUUAAUAUUUAUUAUUAUAAAUUAUUUUAGAAUUAAAAAUAAGUGUAGAAGCGAGGCAUGGUGGCUCAAGCCUGUAAUCCCAACACUUUGGGAGGCUAAGGUGGGAGGAUUGCUUGAGCCCAGUAGUUCAAGACCAGCCUGGGCAACAUGGAGAAACCCUGUCUCAAUACAAAAAAAUGAGCCAUGUGUGGUGGUGCGUGCCUGUAGUCCCAGCCAUUCUGGAGGCUGAGGUGGGAGGAUGACUUGAGCCUAGGCAGUCAAGGCUGCAGUGAGCCCUGAUCUUGCCACUGCACUCCAGUCUGGGCAACAGAGCAAGACCCUGUGUCAAUAUACAUAUGGACAAACUUAAAAUUUAAAAUGAAAGCAUACUACUGAUACAGAAUUGAGUAGAGAUGCAAAGCUAGUCCUAUAACCAGAACAAUAAAGAUAAAAAGGAGAGUGGAAGAAGGUAUGUCAUGAAUUUCAUGAUAAAUGGCAAUUGCAAAUAUCCUGUAGCAGAACAAAACAACAAAACUGUAGAUAAAACAUAUCCAACCCUUUGGAAGGCCAAGGAGGGAGGAUUGUUUGAGCCCAGAAGUUGGAGACCAGCCUGGGCAACAUAGUGAGACCCUGUAUCUAAAAAGGAAGAAAGAAAAAAAAAAAAAGGAUGAUAAAGUAGACAAUAUUGAAAGCCAUUUUCUGCAAAUACAUAGUGAAUUUGAUCAGUAAUUUUCUUCCAACAGUGCAAAAAUGAAUAGAUAUUAGUUGCCUGAAAUAAAAAUCAAAUAUCCAACAAAAAAUAUUGACUAUCUAAUAGUAUCUAAGCUAGUAAAUUUGGCCAGUUAUAAAAUGUCUUAAAUUUUUAUUUAAAAAAAGAAAACCAUAUUUAUAAGAAGAGGUGAUAAAGAGAAAUUAUUUCAGUUAUGAAGAUUUUGUUAGAAAACUAUGAGAAAAAAACUAUUUUUUGUUUUCAAAAAGUGAAAGAUUAAGUUACCAAACAGUUGCUAAAGAAUACCAGAUGGCUGAGCGUGGUGACUUAUGCCUGUAAUCCCAGUACUUUGGAAGGCCAAGGCAGGAGGAUCAUUUUAGGCCUGGAGUUCGAGACCAGCCUGGGCACUGUAGCAAGACCCGUCUCUAUUAAAAAAAAAAAAAAAAAAAAAAAAGAAUACAAGACCUUGCUAACAAUAGCAAAGAUCAAUUAAUUCAAAAUUUGAAAAACUGUAAUUUAUUUAGCUUUAGAGUACUCUCGUGAUAUGAGAUUGCCAAAUUAAUACUUUGGGUGCAUUUCUUUUCUCAAAGGACUUGCAAAUUUACAAAGAAGUGUUGAAGAAAAGCCACACAUUGGCAGGUAAUGUUUGCAAAAGACAGAUCUGAUGAAGAACAAUAUUUUUAGAAUAUACAAAGAAUACUUAAAACUCAACAGUAAGAAAAUAACCUGAUUUAAAGCAGGCCAAUGACCUGAACAUCUGUUCACCAAAGAAGAUACACAGAUGCAAGUAUGCAUAUGAAAAGAUGCUUGACAUCAUGUCAUUAGGGAACUGCAAAUUAAAACAAGUAGAUACCACUGCAUACCUAGUAGAAUGACCAAAAUUUAGAACACUGUCAGCACCAAAGGUUGCAAAGAUAUGUAGCAAUAGUAACUUGUUCAUUACUGGUGAGAAUGCAAAAUGUGCAAUCACUUUGGAAGACAGUUUGGUGGUUUCUUACAAAAGUAACCAUACUUUUACCAUAAGAUUCACCAAUCACACUCCUUAGUAUUUAUCCAAAGGAAUUGAAAACUUAUCUCCACACAAAAACCUGCACAUAGAUGUUUAUAGCAGCUUUAUUCAUAAUUUAUCCAAAACUUGGAAACAAGAUGUCUUUCAGUAGGUAAGUGGAUAACUGUGGUACUUCUGAAUAAUGGAAUGUUAUUUAGAGUUAAAAAGAAAUGCAUUCACUUUGGGAGGCCGAAGUGGGUGGAUUGCUUGAGGCCAGGAGUUUGAGACCAGCCUGGUCAACAUGGGAAAACCCCAAUUAGCCGGGCAUAGUGGCGUGAGCCUGUAAUCCCAGCUACUCGGGAGGCUGAGAUAUGAGAAUCGUUUGAACCUGGGAGAUGGAGGUUGCAGUGAGCCAGUGCCACUGCACUUCAGCCUGGGCAACAGAGCAAGACUCCUCUGUCUCAAAAAAAAAAAAAAAAAGAAAGAAAAGAAAAAAGAAAAAGAAAAAGAAAAGAAACGAUCAAGCCAUGAAAACACAUGAAGGAAACUUAAAUGUAUGUUACUAAAAAGCCAACCUGAAAAGACUGCAUACUAUAUGACUCCAACUGAUGCAGGGCAAGCAAGCCAAAAAUUAGGGCUUAGCCCGGGAAGAAUUCAAGGGUGAAGUGGUGGUGUUAGCAACUUUUACUGAAGCAGCAGUGUACAACAGCAGAACAGGUACUGCUCCUUGCUGAGCAGGGCUAACCCAUAAGUAAUGUGCCCAGAGUAGCAGCUCAGGGGCAGUUCUGCAGUAAUAUACCUGCUUUUAGUUAAGUGCAUGUUAAGGGGGAUUAUGCAGAAAUUUCUAGAAAAAGAGUGGUAACUUCGGAGUAGGUACAGAGGAAAGAAGUCGAUAAUGUCCUGUUGUUGCCAUGGCAACGAAAAACUGACAUGGCGCUGGUGGGCGUGUCUUAUGGAGAGGUGCUUUAACCUCGUCCCUGUUUCGGCUAGUCUUCAAUCUGGUCCGGAGUAAAGUCCCUGCCUCCGGAGUUCACUCCUGCUUCCUGCUUCACAACUGUAUGACACUCUAGAAAAGACAGUAACUAUGGACACAGUCAAAAGAUUAGUUGAUAGAAAUUGGGUGACAGGAAGUGUUGAAAAGGCAGAACACAGGAUUUUUAGGGCAGUGAAACUUCUGUGAUACUAUAAUGGUGAAUACAUGACAUUAUACAUUUGUCAAAACCCAUAGAAAGCACAACACCAAGAAUAAACCCUAAUGUAAAUUACAGACUUUCGUUGAUAAUGACGUGUCAAUGUAAGUUCAAUUGUAAUAAAUGUACUACUGUGGUGCUGGAUGUCUAUGGUGGGGGGACAUUUUUGCUUCAAUAGUUACAGUUGAAGUAAAUGUUUGUGUUUCCCACAAUGCAUAUGUAGAAACUCUCACAUUCAAUGUGAUGGUCUUUGGAGGUGGGCUCUUUGGGUGAUAGUUAGGUUUAGUUGAGAUCCUAGCAGAUCGAGUCUUCAUGAUGGGCAUGAUGGGACUGGUCCCUUAUAAGAAAAGACCAGAAAGCUAGCUCUCUCUUUGCCAUGUGAAGACAUAGCAGGAAGGUAGCCAUCUGCAAGCUAGGAAAGGGCCUUCACAAAGAAUCAACUCAGACCUCAGAACAGUGAGAGAUAAAUUGUCGUUGUUUAAGUCACUCAGGCUGUGGUAUUUUGUUUCAGCAGCCCAACCUAAGACUGUUAAUUGGAUUAGAAAUUUCCUUUUGGGGAUGGUGUGUGGCGGGCGGGGGGCGGGGAGUACCUUUGUUAAGCUUUUAUAUCAAUGAGUUUGUAGGCUUUUCUUUUUUGGUCAUUGACUAGGACAGUUUAAAUAGUAUGAGUGUGAAGGAGAUUGUUGGUCAUCUAUUCGAUGUCCCUUCUCUGUUUUUUAAUAUGAGAACUCCUGAUUUUCAGCCAACUACCCUGGAAAAAAAGCUAAUCUUUCUGACUUCUUAAGUGUGGCCAUGUACUAAAUUCUGGCUAAUGCAAGGCAAGCCAAAGGUUUUAUGAUAGGUUUUAGGACACUAGAGUAAAAGAGAGCUGUUGCACACAUGCUCUUCACCCUACUUUUGUGUCCUUUUUUCCAUCCUACAACUUGGGUUGUGAGUAUGAUGGCUGGAACUUUAGUGGCUCUCUUGGAUCCCAGGGGUAAUUGAGGGGUGGCUGGAAGGAAUCUGUGAUUUUCUGGAGUUUCCAUACACAAACAAGACCUGGAUUUUCUGGGCUUCCCAGACUUCCACAUCUAGACUUGCUUUAAAUGGGAGAGAAAUAAACUUGUUUCAGCCACUGUCAUUUUGGGCUAUUUUAUAGAACUUAAUCUAAUCUUCAAGGGUACAUGAAUUGCUUUUCCUUAAAAAAAAAAUCAGCCAUAAAAUCAUCUUCUUUUUUCUUUUGUUCCCCACAUUAUUUAGUUGGAGCUCUGUAACUUUUUUUUUUUUUUUUUUUGAGACAAGGUCUUGCUCUGUCACUUAGGCUGGAAUUCAGUGGCAUGACCAUGGCUCACUGCAGCCUUGCCCUCCUAGGCUCAAGCAAUCCUCGUCUCAGCCUCCUGAGUAGCUGAAACUAAGGCACAUGCCACCAUGCCCAGCUAAUUUCUUUUCUUUUAGAGAUGGGAGCCUUGCCCAGGCUAGUCUCAAACUCCUAGCCUCAAGUGAUCCUCCCAUCUCAGCCUCCCAAAGUGACAGGAUUACAGGUGUGAGCCACCAUGCCUGGCUGCUCUGUAAGUGUCUGAAUUUCAUUUUGUAUUUAUCAGUCUGUUUAGAUUUUCUUUCCCUUCUUGGGUCAGUUAGGCCAUUGGUUUCUUUUUAAAGGUUUUCAAAUUUAUUUGCAUCUAAUUCUUCAAAUUACUCUCAAAAUUAUUCCAGUAUAUAUUCUUUUGUUCCUAUUUUCUUCUGUAUUCUUUAUUAAAAUAGCUAAUGAUUUAUCUAGCAGGACUUAUAUUCUUUCCAUAACUUUCCUGCACCCCAAUUAAUCUCCAAUUUUAUAUUUCUUCUGGCCUUCCUUAUAGUUUCCACAGGUUUAUUUUAUUCAUUUUUUAAAACUUUUAUUUAAUUGUUUAUUUUAUUAUCAUUCUUUCUUAUUCAGCAAUCUAAGUGCUUAGGGAUAUAGAAUUUCCUCUAAGCAGCAUAUGCUAGGCUUUAACAAUGUUAGGGAGGCCUCCCCUUUCUGGGGAAGACCACACUUACAUUAACACAGGACUGUGGGAUGCCAAGAGGUAGAGAAGAGCUUAUGAAUAUCCAGAUUACAUCUUCACUGAUCCUGCACAAAGGUGGGGUUCCUCGGUUACCCACUGGGUCCUAUUACCCAAGUCUGGGUCAGCAUACCGAGACUACGGGUAUAUAGAACAAGUGCAACUGGCGAUAAUCCUUCUGUUGGGGAGAAAAAUCUUUUUUUUCUAUUCAUCUUAGGUUCUCCAUCUGUGGCCCUAUCAAGUAGACUAACAAAAGACAGAUUGACAAGACAGAAACAAAGCAUGUGCAUUGUACAAACACAGGGGAGUACUGAGAUGAAUACUCAAAAGAGGAUUUAGAACUUGGGCUUAUAUAGCAUUUUAAGAAAAGAAUACAUUUUUUAAGUGACAAGGAAGACGAAAAGGACUUUGAGUUUCUAGUGCAGUAAAUUGUGGGAAGGCAACUUUUUCUUUCCCUUUUUUUUUUUUUUUUUUUAAAAAAAAAGACUUCUCUGGUGCUAUGUCCAGGCUGAUAAGAGUCUAAAGUCUCUGGUGACUAACUUUUGUUCUUCCCCGAGUAAGAAGACACCUUCACAAUUUCAUAUCCUGCUUUUAGGCAAAUAGGGAGAGGGCAGAGGUGUUUGUUUGUUUUUAAUCUAUUUUUUUUCUCAAUUGUCUUCAACUCAAAAUACUUCUUAUGCCAAAGAUGGCAUAUUCUGCUACCCUUCACUUACUACUUACAACCCAGCCUCUAU